rnacentral:rRNA from 1 species
AUUUUGGACAAUGUGGGCAACCCGGAUCCAGCCAUCCCGCGUGUGCGAUGAAGGCCUUCGGGUUGUAAAGCACUUUUGGCAGGGGAGAAAAGGCGCCGGUUAAUACCUGGCGCCGCUGACGGUACCUGCAGAAUAAGCACCGGCUAACUACUGGCCAGCUGCCGCUGUAAUACGUAGGGUGCAAGCGUUAAGCGGAAUUACUGGGCGUAAAGCGUGCGCAGGCGGUUCGGAAAGAAAGAUGUGUCAUCCCAGGGCUUAACAUUGGAAGUGCAUUUUUAACUGCCGGGCUAGAGUAUGUCAGAGGGGGGUAGAAUUCCACGUGUAGCAGUGAAAUGCGUAGAGAUGUGGAGGAAUACCGAUGGCGAAGGCAGCCCCCUGGGAUAAUACUGACGCUAAUGCACGAAAGCGUGGGGAGCAAACA